UAGGAAAGAGGACCGGAGGCGUGGUUUAACAUCUCCAGCGAGCUUUCACCCCGGCUUUUAAUUUUAUUGAUCGCUCCCAUUCACUGUUAACUGUUAGCGUAAAUAGUUUCUGUAUUUAUUUUUAUAAAAAUAUAUAAAGAACUGAUAAGUGCAUCGAUAUAGAUAAGCUUCAAGGUUUUAUGUAAACAGAGAACAAAACAAUCGGCAAUCGAGUAGCGAGUCAGUUGUUGUUCUGCGUCGAGUAACGCCGGCUGUCAGCUGUAUUGUGCUCAAUUAACUAAACUGUGAUGAUUUACGAGUAUGUAAGUUUUUUAAAGUGAACUCUAGUGAAAAAUGACACGAUCCUGUUACCGUCCACUUGUCCCACGCUCCUCAAACAACUCGUUGGAGACACGAGAAACAGAAUGUUUUUCGAGUUUCAACGACCUGCAACCAGCGGAAGUCAACCAUCAAGAGCCACCAAAGUCUUAUAGGACGACGUCGCCGCCGGGCGAGCCACUGGUGGUGGGUGGCAAG